UGUCUAGCAGUACAAAUAAGAAAAAUGAAAGAAAACAAUUACAAUGUUUCAACAAAAAUUUAUUCUUGCAAAACUCGCAUUCAUGUUUUUGUCACCCAGUGACGCAAAACCUUUGCUCGAAAAUGCUAAACCUCUGUGAGAUAAUGCAACAUUUUUCGAGAUCACAAAUACUUUUGCGAGAACUUUUCAUUUGUUAAGUGAUAUUUUUAAUGCCAAACUUGUGUUUGAUCAUGUAAAACUUGCAAAAAGUUCACAUUAAUGUGGCUUGAAAAGGCAAACGUUUUGUGAAAUAAUGCAAAACCUUUGUUAAUAUUCACGUGGCUUCAUCACAGCAGCGUUUUUGUAGAACACUGCAAGCUUUGUUUGUAGAGCUUCCAAAACUUUCAGUCGUGUUAAUAAUACUUUAUAAAUGCAGAACCUUUGUGAGAUAAUGCAAAAGCUUUUGGAAAUAACAAAACGUUUGCAACUUGCGAAAACGUCUAACAGUAAUUCAUGUUAAUAUGGACUGAUCCUGCAUGAACUUUGUGAGACACUUGGAAGCUCUCGCAAAACUUUCCUUCCUAGUCGCGUGGCUUGAAAAUGCAAUGGUUUUGUGGGAUACAGCAAAAACCUUUGUGAGAUCUCAUAAAAUGUUCACACAUACUUAUAAAUUAUGUUUUCCCAUGCCCAGACAUGGGCCACCGGGGUCAGGCCUGGAUACGGGGAACCACUAGGCUCAAACCUAAAGGACAGCAUGGGUCCCACUUCCCUUGAGCCUAACACAUGUGGGAGAGGCCAUAGGGGUUGGGUUCAAUGUGAGCUGGGCGGUGGCCGGAGGUAGGGACCUUGGCUUUCCGAUGCUCAGCUCUAGAAGCAGGCUCUCUGGACGUGGAACGUCUCUCCUGGCAGGGAGGAGCCCAAGCUGGUGUGUGAGGUCAAGACGUUCCAACGAGACAUUGUCAGGAAUCACCUCGACACACAACUUGGGCUCUGGAACCUCUCUUCCAUUCUGGAGUUAGCCACAGAGAGAGGUGCCAGGCAGGUGUGGUCAUAUUUCUUGUCCCCAGGCUCAGUGGCUAUACAUACACACAGUGGGUGACAGGGUAGCCCUCUUCUACCUUAGGUUGGACGGGUCUUGUUGUUUGCCUAUCCACCAAAAGCAGUUCCGACUACGUACCCUUUUUGGAUUCUUCUCAAAGGGUGAUGGAGAGCUCCGCUGCUCGGGACUCCAUUGUUUUACGGUGGGACCUCAAUGUUCACUUUGCAGGAAUGCCCCCCCGAUCAGAACCCGAGCGGUGCUCUAUUACCGUAUUGGCCCGAAUAUAAGACGGCCCUGAUUAUAAGACGACCCCCUCUUUUUCAAGACUCAAGUUUGAAAAAAGACUUUUUGAACGCCAAAUACAUUUUUAGACAGAAAAUAAUGACAGUACAUCUGAAACAAAUGAUUAUAACAAUAUAUUUGAGAGAAAAAGCAUGUUAUUUUGCCUCAUUCAAAUCUUAAUAUCUUAACAUUUAAAUAUGUAAACUAAGUGCAAUCAAAUUCGUCAAUGAAUGGCCUCUGGUUUUCGAUAUGUAAAUUACAUCACAACUUCUCCUCAGCUGCCGUUUAACCUGGCCGAUCUUCGACCCACUUUUCUCCAGAUUGUCGCUACGUUUCUUCAUUUUCUGUUAUCUCUUCUAUUAUUUUCUUCUCUUUUCUUUCUUACUGCUAUUUUUUAUUUUCCUUAUUCGUCCUACCGCUAUUUUUAUUUUUAUUCUUCGUGACAGGCGUUCACGUUGGCCUGGGGAGUCAAGUUCAGCAUUCGCUUCAAUGAUAUCUGGCGCCGUCUAGCGUUGUGAAUGGGUAUAAUGUCUAGAACCCAAAUAUAAGACGAACCCCACUUUUUCAGUUUUAUUUCAAUGCAAAAAAACACCAUCUUAUAUUCGGGCCAAUACAAUAUUAUGUUCUCAUCAUAGAUUGUGCAUAAUGAAUGCCAUGUUGAAGCAGAAGGGGGUCCAUAUUAGAGGUAAGAGCAGGCCGCCUGAGCCCGACCCAACCCGACCUGAAUUUCGGGCCUUAAAAUGUCAAUCAUUGAUUCGGAGAUCGGGUCGGGUGGGGCUUCUCUCUCGCUGACUUUUAUUUUAUUUUUUUUCCGAGGCCGUCAAUAGUUUUGGCCACGAGAGACCGUGGUUCGCAAAAAAAAAAAAAGAGAAGUGGCCUCAUCACGACACGUACUGUACUAAACUCUUGCAAUGACAAUUCAAAGAACUCCUUUCUGCCUCUGUCUAUGAUCCACCCAUCAUUAUUCUUUUUUGUCUCUCUGCUUCUCUCUUACAGUGCCGCGCUCGAUUCUUAAGGACGUACUGCUGCGGUGGUUUACGGCCCAAUUUUGAACCCGUCAAAAUGACGGACGGCCUUAAAUUUCCCCGUCCACUCUUAAAAAAAAAAUCUGUCAAUGAUAGAAAAUUGUCGUUUGAUGUAACCUCUUCA